ACCUUUGCCAUCAACGCUCCUUGCUCUUCUCAGCUCUGGUCUCGCACUCUGACCAAGUACUCCCCCCUCUGCUUCGACGCCUCUCUCCAGAGCGCUUUCUUGUCACA
rnacentral:ribozyme from 1 species